rnacentral:lncRNA from 1 species
AAAUAACAAAUUUAAUUACCACCACCUGCCAAGACUUUCUCAUACCUCUAUAAAGCACCUUACACAGUUCAUGCCUCACCUUGGUGCUAAAGCCUGCUAAGUACUUGUGGGUAAUUGUCAUAUCCUCUUAGAUAGUAUGUUUGGUGAAACUCAGAAUGUUUAUUCCUUUCAUUCUUUGCUAAAGAUGACCUCUCCAGAUAAUCCUUCUCAAGCUCCCUUCAGCUGAAAUUAUUCUCUCACUGUAAAAUCAUAGACAGCCUGACCAUCAAGCCCCUGGUAGUUGCAAGGAGCUUCUCGGUGGGGCAGGGCCAUGCCCUUGGUAGUGACAGCUGGAAUGGUGAAUCCCUCGUGGUAUCCAGUUCUGUUGGCUUCUUCCCCAAAGUCUCCUUGCAUGGGCAGCCUACACUGUGCAUCUGUGUUCUUCUGAGUGACCCCUGCUUCUUCCUGAUCCCACAGGGCAGAGUUCUGGUGAAGGGAUUCUAGACUGAGUGACCAGCUCUGACAUUAAACAGCCACGUACCUAAGUCACUGGG